UACGAAGGGGCAAGCGUUGUUCGGAAUUACUGGGCGUAAAGGGCGCGUAGGCGGCUUACCAAGUCAGGCGUGAAAUUCCCGGGCUCAACCUGGGGCUGCGCUUGAUACUGGUGAGCUUGAAUGCGGGAGAGGAUAGUGGAAUUCCCAGUGUAGAGGUGAAAUUCGUAGAUAUUGGGAAGAACACCGGUGGCGAAGGCGGCUAUCUGGCCCGUAAUUGACGCUGAGGCGCGAAAGCGUGGGAGCAACAGGG
rnacentral:rRNA from 1 species